ensembl:snRNA U6 U6 spliceosomal RNA
GUGCUCGCUUCGGCAGCACAUAUACUGAAAUUGGAAUGAUACAGAGAAGAUUAGCAUGGCCCCUGCACAAGGAUGACAUGCAAAUUUGUGAAGCUUUCCAUAUUUUU